UGGGCCAAAUGCUCUGAUUCCGUACUGUAGAAAAUCUAAUCUAUAAUGUAUGGCCAGCAAUGUAGGAAGAAGAUCGAUGAUCUUCUCCAUUCUGCCAGUCACCAUCUGAUACCCAUGCCCACUCUAUCUCUGCUGCCAUACCCACCUCCCAGCAAGGCUUAUGUUCUAACACUCUCAGUGAUAUCUGCAACAUCUUCCUUCACUCACUCCAAUCCCUGACACCACUAACCCUGCAUGCCUUCAGGCUGCCUAUUAUCUCGCUUAUGAACUGUACUAAAAGUAACAGUUAUGCCACCCACUUUCAUUUCUCUUAAUACUGGCCUAUUGGCCCAAGGCUAGCUCCCUAGACUGCUGCCAACAUGUUCCUGGCUUUGUGUCUGUGCUAAAUAACCUGUGGAUGCAGUCAAACCAUGAGGCUGAUAUUCUGCAACUACUUUCCGACUAGUGGAGCUGAGCAUUUUUACGUCAAUGAAUGUUUAGGUUAAUUGAAAUACUGAUACCUGUUUUAUGUUACUCUUCUUUCUGAGGGAAAGAUGCCGUAUAUACAGUUCUCCAGUCUGCUGAGAGCUUUCCAUCUGGAGGUUUCAAGAAGAUGAGAACCUAAGCCUUCUACUCUCCAUCCACCUCUUUUAAGACCCCAGGAUGCAAGCCAUCAGGGAGACAGGAUCGAGGAGGACUUGAUGACUGACCUUCCACACCAGUCGCCGCCCCACUUUAGAUGAAAGCCCACAUGCACAAGAGCCAAAUGUCGCCUACAGCUGUGAUGACAGAUGAGUACUUACUCCUGCCAACACUGCACUGAAGCUGUGGGAAACCAGCCUACCUUCUGAUUCUCCAGCCUGCUCCUGCUCAAUGAACAACCUUCUCACUUACAGCAUUUUACUUCAACGGGAAUACUCGCAUUUCAUUACUCUCAUGCUCCCCACAUGCCUCAGUGGGUCAGUGAAUUUUUGGUGCGCAACCAAAAUACAUUUUAAAGGGACAACCAAGAUCUCUCGAGCUGGCCCUCAGAAAUUUACCGCUGAGCCCAGAGUCAACAUUGAUGACGUGUGAUGUAAAGAAUUAGAAUUAGAAACAGGCCCUUCAGCCCAGCAAGUCCACAUCGACCCUCUGAAGAAUACCCCAUCCAG